UACAGAGGGUGCGAGCGUUGUCCGGAAUCACUGGGCGUAAAGGGCGCGUAGGCGGCUUGAUAAGCGUGCGGUGAAAGCCCGGGGCUCAACCCGGGUCGGCCGUGCGAACUGUCGAGCUGGAGCACUGUAGAGGCAGGUGGAAUUCCGGGUGUAGCGGUGGAAUGCGUAGAGAUCCGGAAGAACACCGGUGGCGAAGGCGGGUCUCUGGGCCGAUACUGACGCUGAGGCACGAAGCGUGGGAGCAACAGG
rnacentral:rRNA from 1 species